UACGGAGGAUGCGAGCGUUAUCCGGAUUUAUUGGGUUUAAAGGGUGCGUAGGCGGGAUGCCAAGUCAGCGGUAAAGAUGCGGUGCUCAACGCCGUCGAGCCGUUGAAACUGGCGUUCUUGAGUGGGCGAGAAGUAUGCGGAAUGCGUGGUGUAGCGGUGAAAUGCAUAGAUAUCACGCAGAACUCCGAUUGCGAAGGCAGCAUACCGGCGCCCUACUGACGCUGAGGCACGAAAGCGUGGGGAGCAAACAGG
rnacentral:rRNA from 1 species